UCAACCCCAGGACGGCGGGCAGAGCAAACGGGAAGGCCAAAAAGAACAAAGCGUUUCGCUCCUGCGCCAGGCACUGCGACGGCAGCACAAUUAGCACAAUCCCCGGCGAGAGGGGGAAUUAACAGCCACGCUAAUUAUAACCUGAAGCUGUGGCUAUUUUUACGCCAGCAGCCGAGGUUAAGCUCACUGGCAUUUCCUCUGCUGGCCUGGCUGACUGUGUGUCACCCGGCUGGGCACUCGUGCCCGGAAGGGCUGCGUUUGGAUGCCAUUCCAGCGUGGCCAGCACACAGUCCCUCUCUGCAGCCAGGGAGGGCAGGGACCGGCUCAGCUUCCCGAGCGGGGGGGGCCGGCAGCACAAGGUGUGAACGAGCUCUGGUUAGAGGGGUGGGCAGCUGUUUCCUGCCAGGGGAUGGGCCCACGGGGACGUUCCCGGAGCCCGUCGGGCCCACCCAUUCUCUUCGAAGCCAGCGGGCAUGUUUCCCCGGGCUUGACACAUCCCACUGCACUGUCCGCCCCAGGGAUUCCAGCAGGAGAUGGGCCACCAGUGGGGGGCCUCUGCCGGGAGCUGGCUCGGGCCCUGGACGGAUCCGGGCCCAGUGGGAGCUCGGUGCCCACGUCCCUUUGAGGACCUGGACCAUACAGCCUAUUUUCGCUGCUGCUGCUGCUGCUACCGGGGGAUUCCCUGCCUGUCUGUUCUACGUUUCCUUUUUUACCUCCAAGUGAUUUCAGUGUUUUGCAAUUAUCUCUGAUGGAUUUCCAUGGAUAGUCUUGGAAUGGAGCAAGGCUGGACAACUGAGCCUUGCCUUACAUCACCUGCUAACCCAGGAGGGGUGACAACUCCCUCCUGUUGGAACGGGCCAUCACCGAGACAUCUUCUCCCCUGGUGACUGACUUUUACUCUAAGACCACAAAGCAGACUGUCACUAUAGUUACAUUAUGCCUUAAUACAUUACCCGUACAUACAACUCACAAUGAUUAUGAGUCUUGAUAAGUUAUACCCUGUCUGUAGAUACCUUACAUGAUACCCCUUAUGGAUAAAUACCCUGCAAGACA